GUCCACGCCCUAACGAUGUCAACUAGGUGUUGGGAGGGUAAACCUUUAGUACCGGAGCUAACGCGUGAAGUUGACCGCCUGGGAGUACGGCCGCAAGGUUAAACUCAAAGGAAUUGACGGGACCCGCACAAGCGGUGGAUGAUGUGGAUUAAUUCGAUGCAACGCGAAACCUUACCUACCCUUGACAUGCCAAGAACUUUCCAGAGAUGGAUUGGUGCCCGAAAGGGAGCUUGGACACAGGUGCUGCAUGGCUGUCGU
rnacentral:rRNA from 1 species